GAGAUAGUUUAGUAAUACUAACAUAGUAUUUAUAGUGUUAAUACAAAAAUGAAAGUCACUUAUGGGUUAUAUUAUAAUUACAGAUUUUAAAAGGACAAAAAUGGUUCUCAGGCAACACAAGAUAGGCUGGAAAUACCCUUUUUAACAUGCACACAUCAGUGACUGUAAUUCCCCAGGGAGACUUACGUAGCAAUUCUAUUUUAAAGCAUUUUUUUGACUUCUUAUUAUAACAUGGCCUCCUAGAGUGGAGGAGGCAAACCUACCACUGGCUGCUGCUUCUUACCUGCUGGCUUGAUCUUGAUCAGAAAUACAAGGAGAUAAGAGUGCUGAAUCUGCAUGCUCUGCAGAGGAAGAGUGUGAAGAGAAGGCAGUCCAGCAUAAAGCAUGGCUAUCUUCCUAGCAGGAGAACUGGGACUGCACUUUCUGGGGAUGGCCCCCAUGCACUGAGCCUGCUUUGUAGCCAGGAGCACUGGCACAUCAUCUGAUAUCUCCCACAUGUCUGAUGGCCCUGAGCAGGGUGAGCGUGGGUGUCACAGCACCUCUCCGAAAAAUCAGAGUCCUGGGCCAGCCAGGUAAGGCCACUGUGCUUCUGCAAGCUGAGCAGGGGAAGGCCACAAGCACAGUUCGGUGAUGGUGCUGUCCCUGUGUACAUGAUGGACAUAUGCAACUGGCGCACAGGGCUGUGAUGUACUUCUGCAUAGGUUUUGGAAAGCUGAGGACCAGCAGGGAUGUGGAGGCUGGUUCUCCCUGAUACUCUACUGCAUAACGUUAGCUGGCAAUGGAGCGAUCCUUUAGAGGAAGACAGGUUUCUCAGAGCCCCAACAAGCAGUGCGGCUGCAUGGCUGCCAGCUCCACCAGUGAAACCGGGUGCUAGUUCCAUCCUGCCUCUGGGGCUCUGCUGAGGUUGUCCGCCAGCACAUCGACUCUUCUGAAUCCAGCGGAGCGGCACUGACUGCAGCACAGCGUGGGAAAGCCUCACACCUUGGCGAUGUCUGUGAGCUUGCUGAAGAGUCUGACAACGGCCAUUCACUGGAAUAUAUUCAAAGCAAUGGGGAUGUCUAAAGCUUUAACUCCUAAUCCGAUGGGGAAAAAAUCGGUUUGGCACAAAAUUUACUUGUUACGUGAACUGGUGGGUUUUAACAGUCUCUAGAGUCUACGUCUCAAGUCAGGAAUUUAUUUCCUCUGUUUUCUCACUGAAUUGUUUAAUGUUGGUUGGUAAUACGGACAAAAUUUGUUGUUUUUUUUUUAAUACAAAUGCCAUUAAAUGAGCUGUCUGUGCAUUGGAAAUGGACCUGCUGUUUCCA
rnacentral:lncRNA from 1 species